UAAAAUAAAAGCACAAAUGCUUCCUUUUUUUCUUCAAAUUUGACAGCUUAAGUUUAUAUUAAGCAUAGCAUCACCUGGAUGCAUACUGCAUGAAAAUAUUAGACUAUUCAGAAUGAGUUAUUAACCCAAAGCUUUUACAAUUUCUCAGAUGCCCUGAAGUGAUUCUGUAGGCUACUGUGGGGUUAUGAAUAUGAGAGAGAACAGGGGCUUCCAGUAAACGUCUAAUAGGCUGCAGUAUCAGCAGAUGUCAUUGUUUGGCCACUAUUUUCAAUAAGAAGGUGUUCUUUAUUGUGAAGUGUUGUGUUGAUGUCUAACCAUAUUGCAAGAAAAAAGUGCUGUGUUUGUGUACUUUAGGUUACCUUCUCAUGUCUAAAGUAACUGCAUAGCUGGGUUUGUGGUUUAAAUAUAGUCUGUAUACUUGUAAGCCAGCUAGCUUUGGUUCACAUUUGGUGCAUGUUUUUUAACAGCGACAUUUGAGAUGUCAAAGCUUAAUCGUGUCUCAGUGCUGUCUGAAGAGCUUCUGGUUUCCUUACAUCUUAACAAGACUGUUUGGAACAGACAGUUUGCUGAAAACUGAAGGAAUGAACUAUAGAUAUGGUCCUUCACUUAAAUAUUUGAUCAACAUUGGUGGUAGGUGACAUAAAAGUAACAAAUAUAGAGACAGCGUGUGCCAAAAUAAAAAGCAGUUUGUCUUUUGUUCUUUGAUUUGCAUAAAUUGAAUGAUUAACUGAAGAGCAUGAAGGCAUUUUAUGUCUUUAAGACAGCUGCCUUUAAAUUCAGUGGACUUCAAAUCAUAUUCUUAGUGACAUAUUAAUGAUUGUCAGAAGGUGUAGUAGAUUUUGAUCCUGAUUCUUUUUUCUAUUGUAGCUUUAGAAUGCCAGAAGAUAUGGUUUGCUCCAUAUAAAGAAGGGGACCAUGAUCUGAAUAGUUUGAGAAGAACUUUUUGUCCUGCUGCUUUUACUCUCUCAGUAUUGUUCUGUGUCUUGGAACUGCAGGUUUUCCACAAAAGAAAAUUUGGUUGUGUCAAGGUAAGUGAACAAAACUAUAUUAGAUUGCAAACAUUCUUGUGUUUAAAAAGGUUGCUUUUAUCUUUGACGCUCUGUGGUGCUAUUGUCUGCUUGUGUGUGUAUGUAUGCUUCAUGGUGAACGUCUUCACCUGAGGAAUUAUUCAGCUAAAGCAUGAACAAGACAGCAAAAAAGCUGCUUAACUAUAAACCUACCUUCGUAAAAGAGAUGCAUCAGUGCUAUCAACAAAUAUUUCACCAAGAUCUCAGAAGGUAAACAUUCAGUAAACAGAAGUUAUGUCAUUACUUCAAUAGGACCUAUUUCC
rnacentral:lncRNA from 1 species